rnacentral:rRNA from 1 species
UACGGGGGGGGCAAGCGUUGUUCGGAAUUACUGGGCGUAAAGGGCUCGUAGGCGGCCAACUAAGUCGGAUGUGAAAUCCCCGGGCUUAACCUGGGAACUGCAUUUGUGACUGCAUAGCUAGAGUACGGUAGAGGGGGAUGGAAUUCCGCGUGUAGCAGUGAAAUGCGUAGAUAUGCGGAGGAACACCGAUGGCGAAGGCAAUCCCCUGGACCUGUACUGACGCUCAUGCACGAAAGCGUGGGGAGCAAACAGG